GACAGAGGGUGCGAACGUUGUUCGGAAUUACUGGGCGUAAAGCGCGUGUAGGCGGCAGCGUAAGUCGGGCGUGAAAUCCCACGGCUCAACCGUGGAAGUGCACUCGAAACUGCGCAGCUAGAGUCCUGGAGAGGAAGGUGGAAUGCUUGGUGUAGAGGUGAAAUUCGUAGAUAUCAAGCGGAACACCGGUGGCGAAGGCGGCCCUCUGGACAGUGACUGACGCUGAGACGCGAAAGCGUGGGGAGCAAACAGG
rnacentral:rRNA from 1 species